UGCUAUUGGAAGAAACCUAUCUUGCUCCCUUAACGAGUGAUCUCCGUUGUGUCCUCCGCCUGAUUCGUUAUCCGAAUCCGCCAUUGACUAAAAGAUGAAAUUACCGAUAUGGAGGAUACGCCGUGAGUGAACGGCGGAGAUACGAGGAUUCCGGUGAUGGAAAAAAGGUGUUUGAUAAGGGAGAAUAUGAUUUGGAGGGAAUGAGAGAGGAUUAUAUCCGUCGGAUCAAGUUGUAUAAGAACUCUAUUGGAAGAAUACUGGCCGUUAUUUAUCGAUAAGUGUUGGUCCGUAGUGGCGAAAUAUAGGCCGUUGGAUUAAGAAGAUAGUGGAAGUAUGUGGACCAUCGAUAGAGCAUCGGCGGAACUUGGUCGGCCAAUAUAAUAAUACUAUUUAUUAUAUUUAGUAUUUAUUUAGGAAUUGAGAAUAUAAGGCUGUUAAAUAC